rnacentral:rRNA from 1 species
GCCGUACCAUGCUGAAUAUACCGGUUCUCGUUAGAUCACCGAAGUCAAGCAUCAUUGGGCGCGGUCAGUACUUGGGUGGGUGACCACCUGGGAACACCGCGUGCCGUU